UAUAAUCUGAGUCCGAAUACCUGAGUCUAACACAGCCACGGCACGAAACUGAGCUUAGCACAGUGUGUUGGGUCGGGCGCAGUGGUAAUUACAAGACCCAGUGGGCCAGACCCAUCCCAGCGUCCCGGACGAUCCAAGACAGCCGAAAAAUUACUCUUAACCUUUUAACCUCCAUAGAAUUUUCAUCGAGCGUGCUCGUGUCACCGGCGGUACGAAGUUACACGAAGUUUUAUCUUAUUUAUCAGACGGCGGUGAAAUUAGCCCGAUUUUGUAUGUCUUAUAUAUCAGUCUACGGCGGUUAAAAGGUUAAAGACCGAGCAGCUCUACAUACAUGGUUAGACGCUACAUGCACUCUGAUUGGCUGCUCGGGUGACACUUCGACACGCAGUCAAGUGCAAGAUGCCCAACUCGCUAACUGAGACAAGUAGACGAAAGGUGUAAGGGCACAUGUACUUUUAGCAUUCCCAAGUUGAGGGAAUAUUGACUAGAAUAAGUUUAAUUUGUUUAAUAGAGAAACAGAGACCUCUAUUAUCCUUAGUGAUAGUGGUCGAGGCUACGUGCUAUAACAAUCAAUGAAAUUUAGCUUUAAGCACUUGAAAAAAUUUAACCUUUAUCUGAAACUAAUUACUUUUCCGACUGUUACAAAACAUAAAAAGAUUCUAUUUAGAAAUAGAGGCCUCCAUGUACUUCAUUGGUCGAUUCAGGAAUUAUGUCCUCAAAGUAAACUAAGGUUUUAUGUACAAAAAUCAGGUCCCAUGUUAAGCUCAAUGACUGCAAACCAGUCAUCUCGGAGACUAUGCUAGGACGGCCCCUACACCCGUUUCAUAGGCGUCUACUGUUAAUACAACGGGUUUAAAUACAAUACUCAUUAAAGCCACCCACACUAGCGUCUCCCGAGCGUCGGGGUUUACUCAACCGGGGUCUACGACAACGCAGCGACGUGAUUUUCCAUAGCGCUGACUAAACUCCAACGCUUAAAAGACGCUAGUGUGGGUUAACGCUGUCCUGUGCUAAGAAUAUCCUCUUUACUAUAGCUUAUUAUUGCCGUUUAUAAUGGGGUUAUGAUUUAGGACUUAAUAAUUUACUAAUUGCAAAAAAUUAUGACAAAAAACGAUUAAAACGCUGUCAUAAAUUAGCUAGCAACCAGUGGAUAGUAAAACCCGCUACAUUAUGCUCAGUUGUUUGUCCAAUUGUACACCAGAUUAUCUUAAAGUAAAUUGUUCGUUGAAUCAGUCUGGGUGCCACUAAAUUGUGGCAUCUCACUGGCCAAAGUCAUAUAAUGGGCUACAACUUUAUAUAAGAUGUUGAACCCGAAUUAGGAGCUAAAACCCAGUCAAAAAUGAUACGCCUGGAUGUGUACUCUGAAGAAACAUUUAUGUAUGUACCUUAAAUUCAGUGAUACACCAGGCAACAAAAAUCCCGCGACACGUGUCGCAACUGUCGCAAGCGACGUCGGAUGUAGUGGCGCGACGUUGCCGAACUUAUCUCGACAUGUCUGGCAACACACGUGUCGCCAGCGUCAGGCGAAGUUUCGUGAACUAGUACGACUUCGCCUGACAUGUCGCCGACUGGUGUCCUGGCUUUAAAACACAACAAUACCAAAAUAACAGUGUUAAAGAAGACGUAUCAGAUUGACUUGUAUUUCAAAGUGGCCACCCAUAUACGAACUAGCAAAAAUACAGAUUAGCAUGACAAAGAUUCAUCAACGUAUAGAUUACUUUUGUAUUUUUAUAUGAGAGCCACUUUAUAUUAACAAUAUUAACAUAGCCCCUUGUUUGUCAAUAAAAUAAUUCAAGACCAUAAUAACUGCGCAUCGCUUUCCGUACCUCAUCCCACAUACAUUUUUUUUAUUACUAAACCAUAGGUUGUCUUUAUUAGCAAAUGAAACUAUGUGAAACGGGUCACUCUAUAUGGAAUCUUAGAUCAGAAGAUUGAAAAAUUCAUCAGCUAGAAACGUUUACAAAAAAGCUGCCAAUCUCAAUCAUAAAAUUAUAUACGCUGAAAUAUAUCUCAAUCCCUUCAUUAUCUACGAGUAUGACUGAUCAUAGCUACAGGGGGCCUACCGCGGAAACCGAAAUUCGCAAAUUGCGGGGAUCUUUCUCUUUUACUCCAAUGAAGGCGUAAUAAGUGACAGAGAAAGAUGCCCGCAAUUUGCGAACUUCGAUUUUCGCGGUUAUAGCCCAGGUCUCAAAGAAAUUUCAAGACUAGAUUGGUGUAGGGACGGAUAACCUAACGAUCGUCUCAAAACCAAAUGCUUUAACUGACCAGGAAGGCUGGCGCAACUAGGCCAAAAGCAAAUUCAAAACUAAUAAUGAUUUUGUGAUCCCUAUUGUUGCA